rnacentral:snoRNA from 1 species
GGACAGUGACGAUUGAUUUGAAAGGUCUCGUUCGUCGUAAUGGGCGUUUUAUUACGUCCUUGCCGACCAUUCUAUAUAUCACCACCCAUAUUCCGAGUCC